AACGAACGCUGGCGGCAUGCCUAACACAUGCAAGUCGAACGAAGUCUUCGGACUUAGUGGCGCACGGGUGCGUAACGCGUGGGAAUCUGCCCUUGGGUACGGAAUAACUCAGAGAAAUUUGUGCUAAUACCGUAUAAUGUCGUAAGACCAAAGAUUUAUCGCCCAAGGAUGAGCCCGCGUAAGAUUAGCUAGUUGGUAGGGUAAAAGCCUACCAAGGCGACGAUCUUUAGCUGGUCUGAGAGGAUGAUCAGCCACACUGGGACUGAGACACGGUCCAGACUCCUACGGGAGGCAGCAGUAGGGAAUAUUGGACAAUGGGGGCAACCCUGAUCCAGCCAUGCCGCGUGAGUGAAGAAGGCCCUCGGGUUGUAAAGCUCUUUUGUCCGGAAAGAAAAGCAUCUGGUUAAUACCCGGGUGUUCUGACGGUACCGGAAGAAUAAGCACCGGCUAACUUCGUG
rnacentral:rRNA from 1 species